AGCAGCCGCGGUAAUUCCAGCUCCAAUAGCGUAUAUUAAAGUUGCUGCAGUUAAAAAGCUCGUAGUUGAAUUUCGGGACCAUCAUGUCGGUCGUGCCUCGGUACGUACUGGCAUUGUUGGUUUCUCCCUUCUGACGAACCAUGAUGUCAUUUAUUUGGUGUUGUGGGGAAUCAGGACUGUUACUUUGAAAAAAUUAGAGUGUUUAAAGCAGGCUCA
rnacentral:rRNA from 1 species